GAUGAAGAACGCAGCGAAAUGCGAUACGUAAUGUGAAUUGCAGAAUUCAGUGAAUCAUCGAAUCUUUGAACGCACAUUGCGCCCCUUGGUAUUCCAUGGGGCAUGCCUGUUCGAGCGUCAUUUGUACCUUCAAGCUCUGCUUGGUGUUGGGUGUUUGUCUCGCCUCUGCGUGUAGACUCGCCUCAAAAUAAUUGGCAGCCGGCGUAUUGAUUUCGGAGCGCAGUACAUCUCGCGCUUUGCACUCAUAACGACGACGUCCAAAAGUACAUUUUUACACUCUUGACCUCGGAUCAGGUAGGGAUACCCGCUGAACUUAAGCAUAUCAAUAAGCGGAGGA
rnacentral:misc_RNA from 1 species